ACUUUUUUAUAUGAUGUGGUCUGCUUCAAACAAGAAUUAAUUCAGGAAUUCUUACUGUAUAGGAGUCAGACCCCAAAAUCACUGGGGUUUCUUCUGGCCUUGUAAUGAAUGAAUGUAUGACUUUAUGUCAGGAAAAAGCUAUUAAUUUGGCCUACCUUUCUGAAUGUCCUUUGUCUGUGUUCCUGAUUAAAGCAGUGGCAAAUGCUCUUUCCUCUCAAGACCAGGAAAAAGUAGACAGUACUGUGGAGCAAUAAGCAAUAUGGACGUGCAUUAUUGUGCUUUCUUCUUAGUCGGCUAUAUCAAAUUCACUGAAGAGCACAGACAGGAAUUAUGCUUUAAAUGAGUUCUGAUUUCUUGGCUUCUGCUCAGAAACACACCUGGUUACUCAGACCUAGCCAGAUCAAAACCUCAGGUAGGUCAAGACCAAGGCUAUGGAAACAGUGGAAAUACGGACAAAGUUAUAUCUACACAGCACAACAGCUUAGUACUUUGUGCAGAGUGUGCCUGCGUUAGGCAGCAUGCCCAGCAUGGACCUCCUUCAGUGAUCCCCUGCAGACAGCACAGCCCCUGAGGUUUCCCCCACCACAGGGGAGCUGGUAUAUUUGCUGGCAGCCCUGGGACUGAUGGAGCACAAAGCUGACAGUCACCUUACUCAUUUUCAGUCUUAUGGAGUCAUACAGAACAGGGAACCCUUGGCACGACAUGGCUGACAUAUUAUCAUGUGGAAUAAAAAAUAGCAGCCAGAAAGUUUAACUGCUGACAGUCAGGAGGAUGUUUUACAACAGGAGGCACAGCCGAGUCACAUGGAAGUUUUGCUAUAGCAGAAUCCUGCCUGCAUUCAGCCAAAGCACGAAAAUCUGCAAAUGGACCCUCCAAAGACAAUGAGCUUAGCCUAUUUCCAAAAUAGGCGCAGUUGAGAAGUCUGAGGAGGAAGCUACAAGAUCAUGGAAGGAAAUUGCUCGCUUCAAAAUGGCAUGUAAUGGACAAACCAUUUCUGUACUCUAGUGCUUAAUUCUGGGCCUUUUGAAAGAGCGGUAGUGAGGAGGGUGUUUGCAGCCCAGCUGAUAUGUUGUUCCUCAGAAGUACUGCCUCCCAAGAGCUCUGCAGAUGCAAGGCUAUCUUCAUGCUUGCUGGUGCCACAGAGUGAUGAUGAAAUUAUAUUCAUAGUAGUCCUCUGGAAAUUCAGAAGAAAUGGCAAAGAGUUAAACCUGGAGUGGGUCAGCUGACAUCACAGGGAGGAAAACAGCCAUUCGGGAGAAUGUACUGAUGUUUGUCUUCUGUUCUUCCAAGCAUUGUGGAGGAAAUAGACUUAAACCACCAGCUUGGAGAGUAUAAGUCUAAACACAAGCAGAGACUCAGACUGAGGAAUAGGGUGCGAGUACAUCUGCUCUUGGUCACCAUUUUUGAGAAGGCAGGUUCUGCCACAUCACCUUCUCUCAUCUAUUCUGGCUGUUUCUCAAAUUUAGAAAAUAUCUCCUGCUACUGAUAAGCUAUUUGAAAGAACUGACCUAACAAUGUGGUGGAAAGCUAUUCAAAGUAUACUGUAGGAUUACAGUCAGGACUCUCUGUACUGGCUAAGUAACAUUUUGCAGGCAACAACAUGCUAUGCUCUGUUCCUAUCUCACAGGACCACAAUGGUGGCAGCUUCUGGCAGUGGUUUGUAGGAGAGCAUUGGCUUAGAACAAGCUCUGGACAUUCAGGCUGUCCGUUGAUAAUUUUCUGGCUGCUCAAAGUUAUUUAUCCUUUCUAAUGCAGCCAAAACAGUGAAGCUCUUUUUCUGUGUUUGACCCUUUUCUUUGGCAGGUCUGAUUUCCCCCUAUUAUUCUGUGUGCUGGGAAAGCAUGCAUCACAUUCCAUCUCUGCCUUCCUGUACAGAGGUGCUAUCCAUUACUGCAUCUGUUUUUUCUGUGUCCCUGAUGGAACUUGCCUAUUUUCAACAUACCAAAUGUAUUGAAAAUGUCAGCUCUCAAACGGGACCAUGAACAUGGGACAAAAAGUUCAAACUGAAAUGUAAGCUGUUGGACAAGAAGUUGGAUGCCCAGAUCAAAGUGGUUGUGUUUUCAGCAGUGCUAAGGACUUAGAGUUCUCACUGAAAUCCAAACCAGGAGCUUUUAAGAUGACCAUAUUUUAAUGCUGUUAGAAUUUGACAGGUUGAGUGUGCUUAAAUAUGUGACAUUGCCUGAUAUUUAAGCAUAGCAAAUUCCCACAAGUUUUUGAAUAAUAUUACCAAAUGUGAGAAGCAUAAAUCUUUCCUUUCAUUGCCUUGUUCAGCCACUUAAAGGCCCAUGAAGAUACUUACCCUGUCACUACUUGUUUUGCCACAGGGAAAUUCUCAUUCAUCAUCUUAGAAUUGUCCUUUAAAAUGUUCACAGAUUUUAUUCUAAUGAUGUUUUCCUUCAGUUGUGGAAGUAUUAUAAAGGCCCAUAAGUAAUGCAGCAACACAAUGGGGAAUAACAUUAGUUUCAAGUUCACUGUGAAUUGGCUUAUGCUAAACCAAACCAAUGUCCCCAGACAUGGCUGGAUUUACUCCUUCUGUUUAGUACAUUAGACCCAUCAGAUGAUCCACAUGUACUUUGUACAACAUUGCACUGGUGGCAUUACAAAAAUGUGAAAUAUAAGAUUUUGCAUAUUAAAGCACCUGUCAAAACACAAAAGCUUUAUGUAUAAUUUAAAGAUUGUUAUAUUAUUUGCUAAAACUUCAUUUUUCAGACUUUUGGUUCUUGAAUUUUUAUUUUUUUUUUUUUUCUUUUGCCACUGAGUAAAACUUUCUAAUGCAUAUAAUCCCUUUGGUUUCAAUGAGAAAUGAAACAGCCUGGUGCUAAGUGACAGAGGUAAAGCUGGCAGACACUUGCCCAUAUGGCUUCCCAGCUACUCUGCACCAGAGCAGCUUUGUGGCAGAAUGUCACCGUACUUCCACUUUAAGAUGAAAACUUUAUUUGAUAUACUUUAACAAAAGUCAUGCACAGAUUCCCUUGAGUAUCUCACUCAAGCUACCAGUGUCUUCUGUGUUUUAGUUGAGUAAAUGUAGAAUUUCACUUGCUUCUGCUGAUGCUCAGACAUCUUCCUUUCUCCCGAAUUGUCUGUGGAACAUGACACUGUAGAAGGGAAAUCAUUGUAGUUGGCUAAAGAGGUAGAAAAUUGGCAAAGCAAGUAAUUGAGAGCCUCUGAAGAUUUAAAGGAAAGAGAUUCUUGGUGCAGGGAAAAGGGGUUUUUUCAGGUAGCAAUAGCCAGUAAUAGUUCAGAUGCAGGAGGUCCCUGUGUUUUGAAGAAGGGAGAGCUCAACUGCUGCAGGGAGAUUGAGGCUGGUGUAUCUUUUGUGGUAAUUUAGAUGACGAAAAUUCAAAGUGCAGACCUUUAAAAAACACCAGGCAAAUUCUCCCCUGCCAACUAAAAUGUCUAUUUCAUUUAAUGUAACACCUUGCUUGCAACACUUCUGAAAGUGUAUUUAGUGCAAGCCUGUGCCCUGAAGGUACAAUUUCUAAAGAGUAGUCACUGAUCUUGAAGACCCACUGUUGAAUGUGCAGCCUGAGUUUGAUUUUCACAGAUGCUGAUGUGAAAGAACUGGCUAGAAAGUUUUUAAGAUUGGACCUACAGAAAUAUAAAAGCAUUGAAAACAAGUGGUCAAAUGUUUAGAUUUAGGAUCUUGUAAGUAUUUAUACUAACUGAAAGUAAGCAUGUCAAUAGAGUAUAUACAAAUGUGUAAAU